ACCAUUGGUGUGCAGACUGCUAAACUGAAGCAGCAUGUGAAGGGCUGUCAAGUCCAUAUGCAUGCAAAACCAAUGCGGAGCAUCGGAAUACAGACAGACCUCACAACCAGCCCAUCUAAUGAACAGGAGCAUGGAAGGUCAAUGUCGCCAAUUCAUUGUUCUACACCAGUGCAUGACAGCUCCGAGACUGUAUUGGACAUAUCUAGAGGAGACACUACAGUGAAUUCAGAUGACACCUCGUACAUGCCAACCCUUGACAGCACAAUCAGGAGCACCGACUGCGAAUCCUCUCCACAGGACGACAACAAAUACAUUGUCUUCGAGAG